CUCUUUACUACUAUACAGAUUACACAGAAUUUGUAUUAGAAGUAACCAAGAAUUAGCAAAUAUUUGACAGAAUUAAAAAGUAACACAAAUAAACUAAUAACCCCCAAAGGUAAAGUAUUAAGAUUGUCAGAAAUUUCAAGAUCUUACAAUGAAAAUAAGAUCAUAACACCUGUGCAUCUAGGAUAUUAGUGAAGUUGCUUUUGUGAAAUUUUUAAAUAGCCAUUCCUGCAGGAUUAUCAUGAAGUCUAAAUGUGUGAGUAAAGUGCCUGGUAUUGGAAUAAGGUGUAAAACAGUAGGGGUAAAAAUUCCUCACCUCCUUUUGGGUAAACGUGGACUUUUGUCAUCUUUUCGUCUUCUUCCUCUCCUGUAAUUGAAGACAGGGUAACAGUAGACAUAUUCUGAAUCAAAACUUACACAGUGAAGGCUGGCUGAAGACACACACACACACACACGCACACACACGGCCAAAGAACAAGUGGCAAAGGAUAACCAAGAAUACAUAAAGUCAAAGACAUAUCUGGCAAAUCAAGCAAGUAAUUUUACACUGAAGUAAUUUCACUUUCAAAUCAGUCUGUAAGACAGAUUAAAUAUAUAUCUUCCAUAAACUAUGCAAUACUAUGAAAGACUCAGAUGAAUCUCAAUACUUUUAGAGUUGCUAUCAUGUAUCAUCUAAAAACACUAAGAAUAAAAAAUACCUUCUCCUUGCAAUAGAACUAAAAAAUCUAAACAUUUUUUUACUAAGAGUCUCUCCAGUGAAAUUGUCAACUGCUUGAGGCCAAAUUUUUUUAAGUUAAAAAAUACAUAUUUUGAAGCAUGUAUAUGUCAACAUCCUUCCUCACACUCCCACUCUUUUUUCCACUAGUCAUUUCAAAAUCUGUUAGAUUUUCAUUUUUAAUAAUAAUUGUGUACUCACUUCCUUGGAGGUUCCUCAUCCUCUCUAAUUUCAUUCUCCUCUUCUUUCACCUCCACCUCUACUUCCACUUUAAUUUCCUUCUUCUCCUUCUCUUCUUUUACCUUCCCUGAUUUUCUCCGUGGCUUUGGGGUUUCCCUGAAAACACAAAUGCAUUUCAAUACUAGACAAAAGAUCUUUUCAAGGAAGACUAUGACAACAAAUUAAAGCUUAGAGUUAUCAUUGAUUUGUUAUAAAACUACCCUCCUCAGUUCAUGAAAUGUGAAUUCCUACCAAUCAUUCUCACAUGCGUAGUAAUGAUCCAAAUAUAUGUAUUUGUUGCUCAUGGAAUGAACCCUCCCCAGACUAAAGAUGCCUGUAAAUCAAAUCUCACUAUAAUUGUAAAGAAAAACGAGACAAUAAGUUAAAAAAUUCUAAGUAUUCAGGCAAUUCAUGAUACCUUGUUGAAAUAAAACAUGCAGACUCAUAAAAACUUGUAUAUAAUCAAAAUAAAGUUCUACAAAUGGGAGAGAGGAUUAUCAGGGUAUGGUAAAAUGUUAGACUUACAAAAGAAGUGCAUAAUUAAUUACUCAUUUAAAAUUAAUUCUAUACCCAUUAGUUUGGCAAUAGACAAAAUAAAA
rnacentral:antisense_RNA from 1 species